GAUAUGGGUACGCUUGAAAAAUGUCUAUUGUCAUUGGAUUAUUUUUUUUACCCGUUGCAACGCACGGGCAUUUUUGCUAGUUAUUAUAAGAUGAUAAAACAUGAAUAGUACUUUAUAUGUGACUUAUGUUUUUAUUUUUUUUAAAAAAAAAUUAAAUAAGACGGACGGUUAAAAUUGUGCACGGAAAAUCAUGGCUGCACUUGGA
rnacentral:pre_miRNA from 1 species